rnacentral:rRNA from 1 species
AUUGAACGCUGGCGGCAGGCCUAACACAUGCAAGUCGAACGAGUGGCGGACGGGUGAGUAAUGUCUGGGCAACUGCCUGAUGGAGGGGGAUAACUACCGGAAACGGUAGCUAAUACCGCAUACCAUAGGCUUGGCCGAGAUGGGAUUAGCUAGUUGGUGGGGUAAAGGCACACCUAGGCGACGAUCCCUAGAUGGUCUGAGAGGAUGACAAGCCAAACUGGAACGGAGACACGGGCCAGACUCCUACGGGAGGCAGCAGUGGGGAAUAUUGGACAAUGGGCGCAAGCCUGAUCCAGCCAGGCCGCGUGUGUGAAGAAGGCUUUCGGGUUGUAAAGCACUGUCGGCAGGGAAGCGGUACCCGCAGAAGAAGCACCGGCUAACUCCGUGCCAGCAGCCGCGGUAAUAC